rnacentral:rRNA from 1 species
AUUGAACGCUGGCGGCAUGCUUUACACAUGCAAGUCGAACGGCAGCGCGGGCUUCGGCCUGGCGGCGAGUGGCGAACGGGUGAGUAAUACAUCGGAACGUGCCCAGUAGUGGGGGAUAGCUCGGCGAAAGCCGGAUUAAUACCGCAUACGACCUGAGGGUGAAAGCGGGGGAUCUUCGGACCUCGCGCUAUUGGAGCGGCCGAUGGCAGAUUAGCUAGUUGGUGGGGUAAAGGCCUACCAAGGCGACGAUCUGUAGCUGGUCUGAGAGGACGACCAGCCACACUGGGACUGAGACACGGCCCCGACUCCUACGGGAGGCAGCAGUGGGGAAUUUUGGACAAUGGGCGAAAGCCUGAUCCAGCAAUGCCGCGUGUGUGAUGAAGGCCUUCGGGUUGUAAAGCACUUUUGGCGGGAACGAAAGGGACUGUGCCAAUACCACGGUUCGAUGACGGUACCCGCAGAAUAAGCACCGGCUAACUACGU